rnacentral:rRNA from 1 species
GACAGAGGUGCCGAGCGUUAGGCGGAAUCACUGGGCUUAAAGCGUGUGUAGGCGGAUCGUUAAGUGCCUUGUGAAAUCCCACGGCUUAACCGUGGAACUGCUUGGCAUACUGGCGGUCUCGAGGGAGGUAGGGGCGUGCGGAACUAAGGGUGGAGCGGUGAAAUGCGUUGAUAUCCUUAGGAACUCCGGUGGCGAAGGCGGCACGCUGGACCUCUUCUGACGCUGAGGCGCGAAAGCCAGGGGAGCAAACGGG